rnacentral:rRNA from 1 species
GGUUGCGAUCAUACCAGCACUAAUGCACCGGAUCCCAUCGGAACUCCGCAGUUAAGCGUGCUUGGGCGAGAGUAGUACUAGGAUGGGUGACCCCCUGGGAAGUCCUCGUGUUGCAACCC